rnacentral:rRNA from 1 species
CGGACGGGUGAGUAACGCGUGGGUAACCUGCCUUGUACUGGGGGACAACAGUUAGAAAUGACUGCUAAUACCGCAUAAGCGCACAGUAUCGCAUGAUACAGUGUGAAAAAUCCGGUGGUACAAGAUGGGCCCGCGUCUGAUUAGCUAGUUGGUAAGGUAACGGCUUACCAAGGCGACGAUCAGUAGCCGACCUGAGAGGGUGACCGGCCACAUUGGGACUGAGACACGGCCCAA